GUAUAGAAGAUAGCAGUGCAUACCAAGGGCAUGCAGAAAUAGAACCCGAAGAGCCACCAAUCCUUUACAUCUUGGUAAAACUGUAAGAUUGUUUAUUUACGAAGGAUAAUGCGGCCUCCUGUAUCAUCUCAGUUCCCACAGUAAAAAAUAAUCAUGCUGCUCUGUGAAAAACUGGAUGGUUGCUGAAUAUAGAAAGAGGCCCAGUAGGCUACACUUGUAACAUGUCUAUUAAAAUAAUCUAUAAAUGGCUCUUGAGGAAAAAAAGUUCUGGGCAGAGGUUCUUAACUGUUCUUAUGCUAUCGACCCCUUUGAACGUCUGAUGAAGACUGUAAUCCUUUCUGAGAAUAACAUUUCUAUAUGCCUAAAAGUAAGAUUACAGGGUAACCACUUACAUUGAAACACAGCCGUUGAAAUAGUAAAAAGAAAAUUCUGAUAUAGAAAUAGAGGUGUUUAUUAAUGAGUUAAGGGAAAAAUCCAACGUUGGUUCUAAUAACUAUCAGAAGUUGAAAAGUGAUGAGCAUAAAUGAUAUUUCAAGAUUAUCUAACUGUUAUUGUGACAAGAAAAUGUCUAUUAUUCCUAUUAGUAGAAAUAUGGUUCUGUUAAAUAUGCUUGUGGUUCAUUGCCUACAUUCAUAAUAGAAGGAAAUGAUAAAUUCCAGUUAGAAGUUAGUGAAAAUAAAUAUGUAAUUUCUUUUCCAUUUAAGUUCACAGGCCCCUGAAUUCUAUCCUAAAGUUACUGUAAACUACCAAAGGAGUUGGUUUAUUCAGAUGUAGUCAUACAAAUAUCUCCCUCUCCAUAUCACACUGUAGAAGAUUUCAGUACUGAAGUAAAAAAAAAACAAAA